GACGGAGGAGGCAAGCGUUGUCCGGAAUUAUUGGGCGUAAAGAGCGCGUAGGCGGUUUUCCAAGUCAUAUGUGAAAACUUUAGGCUUAACCUAAAGAUUGCAUGUGAAACUGGAUAACUAGAGUACGGCAGAGGAAAGUGGAAUUCCUGGUGUAGCGGUGAAAUGCGCAGAUAUCAGGAAGAACACCAGUGGCGAAGGCGGCUUUCUAGGCCGUUACUGACGCUGAGGCGCGAAAGCUAGGGGAGCGAACAGGAUUAGAUACCCUGGUAGU
rnacentral:rRNA from 1 species